rnacentral:rRNA from 1 species
CCUAACACAUGCAAGUCGAACGGUAACAGGAAGCAGCUUGCUGUUUCGCUGACGAGUGGCGGACGGGUGAGUAAUGUCUGGGAAACUGCCUGAUGGAGGGGGAUAACUACUGGAAACGGUAGCUAAUACCGCAUAACGUCGCAAGACCAAAGAGGGGGACCUUCGGGCCUCUUGCCAUCAGAUGUGCCCAGAUGGGAUUAGCUAGUAGGUGGGGUAACGGCUCACCUAGGCGACGAUCCCUAGCUGGUCUGAGAGGAUGACCAGCCACACUGGAACUGAGACACGGUCCAGACUCCUACGGGAGGCAGCAGUGGGGAAUAUUGCACAAUGGGCGCAAGCCUGAUGCAGCCAUGCCGCGUGUAUGAAGAAGGCCUUCGGGUUGUAAAGUACUUUCAGCGGGGAGGAAGGGAGUAAAGUUAAUACCUUUGCUCAUUGACGUUACCCGCAGAAGAAGCACCGGCUAACUCCGUGCCAG